UUGAAGGCAAGUUCUCUUAUGAAGCCUUCAAAACUUAGUUUUGGAGAAUCUCUCUCUCUCAUACACAUACCCACAGUUUUAAUUGUGGGUGUUAGUUUUAAUUAAUUCUAAUUGGCUUGAAUCUACAGAUGGCUGCUGCGAGUUUCUGGAUAGUCAUUUUCCUCUUGGUUACAGGUCAACUGUUUUUGUCAGCCAUGGCAUCUGGAGGCAAGAUCUCAACUUUGGUUCAAUUAUUUGCCUUUUGCAUGAUAAGGAUUUCAAGCUUUACUUCGUAGCACAUUUUUAGCUUCCUUUAUGAUUCAGAUUUGAAAGAUGAAUGAACUACUUAUUUAAAGGAGAAACAGAUAGCACUUAAGAUUUGGAAGUAAUGUAUCACUUUACUGUUAUUCAGUAGAAUGGCUAGAUCUGUCACCAACAAAUUGGCAAUUAACAGAUCGAUCUUAACAAACUCAUACACCAAAGAAUAAUGUUGAUGCAAUAAAUUUUGGGAAAGUACGACGACAAUAGAGAAGCAAAAUAAGAAAACUCAGAAGCAAAAUAAGAAAACGCAAAAGCACAACAACACACACAAACCACGAUUUCAGUACCACGAAUGCAUUAGGUAGGUCACCCUAACGGGCUACAUCAAGGGCGAUCAGCAAGAAUAUGAUUUCAUUAUCCGGAGCAAAUUACAUGAGUUUAGUAAAAUACAAGGGUUACUCUAGAAUAAAAAGAGCACUGGUGAUUCCCUUUCCAUUAUCACAAACUGCCUUCCCUUUAUCAUCAUAGCUCCACCUUUAAUAAUAAAUACUAAUGAAACCACCUGAAAGUAGGACACUAUAGCAGUUAGUGUCUUACCAAGAAUCCCCAAUCUAUACCUCAAUCAAAGCUCUCCUUCAUCAGAUCUACUUUCUUUCUUUUGAAAAUAGCAUAUUGAAAACUCUCACUUAAUUUGACUUUUACAAUAGCCAAACUGCCAUUCAACAAAAAGACAAAUACAUAUUUUCGGUAUUCCAAUAUCAUUUAUCUGUAAGAGGAACAAACGAGCAUUAGUUUGAUACUAUCAGAGUACAUGUUUACAGGAGGAAAUGGUUGUUAUCGAACUUAUGGGCGCUUACUGGCAUCAAUGAGAGAUCCCUGCCCACCGCCGCCUCCUCCGGGUAAUCCUCGCAGUUCUCAUCCAUGAAAUCCUGUUACAUUUCAAAACGUGUGACAGAAGGAGAAAGCUAUAUGAUUUAUUGUUGAACUGUUUUACUUGUUCCUUAAUUGAUAUGGGGCAGAAGAAGAACACUGAGCAAUUUACUGUUGAGUUGUUUUACUUGUUCAUAAAUUGAUAAAGGGGGUCUGAGUAAGCCUAAGAGCCCCGUGAGAGCUACACAUUUUAUGUGUCGAAUAGGAUUGUGGAUGUUUUAACACGAAGGCAUCAAUUAUGAAGAUGUAAA
rnacentral:lncRNA from 1 species